AUUUCUACUUUAACAAUAGUUCUGACCUUUGAGUAAAAUUGGUAAGUGCUGUUUGUUGGGGUAGUUUUA
rfam:Astyanax mexicanus Tnplaced_Scaffold2726, whole genome shotgun sequence.